rnacentral:rRNA from 1 species
UGGGGAAUAUUGCACAAUGGGCGCAAGCCUGAUGCAGCCAUGCCGCGUGUAUGAAGAAGGCCUUCGGGUUGUAAAGUACUUUCAGUCGGGAGGAAGGUGGUAAGGUUAAUAACCUUAUCAAUUGACGUUACCGACAGAAGAAGCACCGGCUAACUCCGUGCCAGCAGCCGCGGUAAUACGGAGGGUGCAAGCGUUAAUCGGAAUUACUGGGCGUAAAGCGCACGCAGGCGGUCUGUCAAGUCGGAUGUGAAAUCCCCGGGCUUAACCUGGGAACUGCAUUCGAAACUGGCAGGCUAGAGUCUUGUAGAGGGGGGUAGAAUUCCAGGUGUAGCGGUGAAAUGCGUAGAGAUCUGGAGGAAUACCGGUGGCGAAGGCGGCCCCCUGGACAAAGACUGACGCUCAGGUGCGAAAGCGUGGGGAGCAAACAGG